AACGAACGCUGGCGGCAUGCCUAACACAUGCAAGUCGAACGAGACCUUCGGGUCUAGUGGCGCACGGGUGCGUAACGCGUGGGAACCUGCCCUUAGGUUCGGAAUAACUCCCCGAAAGGGGUGCUAAUACCGGAUAAUGUCUUCGGACCAAAGAUUUAUCGCCUUUGGUUGGGCCCGCGUUGGAUUAGCUAGUUGGUAGGGUAAAAGCCUACCAAGGCGACGAUCCAUAGCUGGUCUGAGAGGAUGAUCAGCCACACUGGGACUGAGACACGGCCCAGACUCCUACGGGAGGCAGCAGUGGUGAAUAUUGGACAAUGGGCGAAAGCCUGAUCCAUCAAUGCCGCGUGAGUGAUGAAGGCCUUAGGGUUGUAAAGCUCUUUUACCCGGGAUGAUAAUGACAGUACCGGGAGAAUAAGCUCCGGCUAACUCCGUG
rnacentral:rRNA from 1 species